rnacentral:rRNA from 1 species
CACGUAGUUAGCCGGUGCUUUCUUGUUAGGUACCGUCAUUAUCGUCCCUAACGACAGGAGUUUACAAUCCGAAAACCUUCUUCCUCCACGCGGCGUCGCUGCAUCAGGGUUUCCCCCAUUGUGCAAUAUCCCCCACUGCUGCCUCCCGUAGGAGUCUGGGCCGUGUCUCAGUCCCAAUGUGGCCGUUCAACCUCUCAGUCCGGCUACCAAUCGUCGCCUUGGUGGGCCGUUACCUCACCAACUAGCUAAUUGGACGCGAGUCCAUCCUGAAGCGAAUAAAUCCUUUUCCCGCAGAUCCAUGCGGAUCCGUGGGCUUAUGCGGUAUUAGCAGUCGUUUCCAACUGUUGUCCCCCACUCCAGGGCAGGUUACUCACGCGUUACUCACCCGUUCGCCACUAAGCUUAAAAAGCAAGCUCUUAAGCUCCGUUCGACUUGCAUGUGUUAGGCGCGCCGCCAGCCGUUCGUCCUCGUAGCCGAGGAUCAAACUCUA